AUGCUCCAAGAAAUUGGGGCAAUCCUGACAUUAAAGCAAAAGAUUAUUUCCUAUGUUAAGGUAUAUGAUCUUAUUUAUGAAUUGAAGAUUAUCAAAUUCACUUAGUCAUAUGGCGUAAUGUCUGCUAUGGAGAUUUUCAAGCAUGUGGGAGAGGUUGAUUGUUAUCCCAAUGUGUCCAUUGCUUAUUGCAUCUUAUUUACUGUGCAGGUGACUGUCGCAUCGAUUGGAUCAAGCUUUUCAAAGUUGAAAUUAUUGAAGAACUAUUUAGGAUCAACAAUGACUCAAGAGAGAUUAAAUGGAGUAUUAUGCACCGAGAAGAAAUUAUUGGAUGAGAUUGACAUCAACCCCCUCAUAAGUGACUUUACAUUGAGGAAUGUAAAGAAAAUUCGAAGGUAA
rnacentral:rRNA from 1 species